UACCACUCUAAUCAUCUGCUGCCUAUGUAAGUGAGCACUUUCCUAGUAAUAUAUGUUGCAUGAUACUGCGUUUCAUUAUUUUAUGACUAUUAACUGGCUAGCUUUUUUACACUUAUGCCCAUAAAUUUGAUACCAAUUUAAUCAUGGUAAAACAGCAAUUCUUGUUACCUAUAUAUUUUUAAAAACAGACAUUUAGAAGAAUGUUGUUCAGGUUUUUAAAAUAUGGAUAUGGGUAUACAAUCUAUUUACAUGUCUUCUACUAAAGUAUUAAGUGAAAAAGUAAGUAUUUGUCAGAAUAAGACUGUGUGUACUAAAAUGAGCAACAAUUUCUGGAGAUAUGUGCAGAUACUGUUAAACAACUCUGCAUGAUAAAACACAAGUGCUAUUAUUUAUGAAACUAUGGUACAGUCUUCAGCAUUAAGAACAAAAUGACAGUUAUAAAAUUCACAGCACAGUCUCACAAUUUAAAUGUUAUAUUUCUUCAAGUCAUGUUUUCACAUUUUAAAUUAUCAAUUAAAAGAAAUUCUAAAUUGAUAAAUUUGGCCAUAUAAAGAAAUUCAGGAUAGAUAUAUAUUUUAAUAAGAUGGGAUGCAUGUUUAUACACCUAUUGAGUGAACAGACUUUCAAAUUUUUACCUGUUAAAGUGCCGUAAAAACUGAAAUUUCAGAACUCUAAAUAACUACAUUAGAAAGGAGCAUCUUUCCAUUACCUUUAUUUUCUGUUUUAUAUACAUAUAUACACAUAUAUAUAAUUUUUUAAGUACAGAGCACAUGCAUUCUUAGACUAAGAUGUUAGCUCUAGGAUGUUUUGUUCUUAUGGAGUUUGUUGUUUGGUGGCAGUGUCAUAUGUCUGGUGCAUUUGUUUCAUUGGUUGUCAUUUCAUGCUUUUAUGUAACUUUUAACAAGAUAGCUACAGGCAGGCUAUUUCAGGUUCUCUCACUUACAUCUUAAUAGUGAGUUGCCAGUACUUAGCUUCAAGCCUUAUGAAAAUAUUACCAUAGUUACCUAAGUACACAGUGAAUAGUCACAUGGUUAUACUUAUGAUUAGAGAGAGCAUGUAAAACAAUGUAAUUUAAAAGUCAGCUUGCCUAUUUUCAAAGGGAAAUAGCACAACCUCCUUUCUAUAUAGCAUGAAAUACUUAAUUGAAUUUUUAUCAGUUUUAUGAUCAGAUAUGCUGAAUUUGUUUUUGUUGUGUUUUUUUGUGUGUGCGUUUGACAUAAUAGUAAGUUGCUUUUGCUUCUGUCAACUCAUUUCUUAAAUAAAAUAGAUUCAGAGAAGCUUUUAAUUGAAUUUUUAAAGUAUUUUUCAGUCAGCCUCAGUUGAAUAGGAAAACAUGAGCUUUAUUAUAGAAAUCAUAAUACUGGAUAUGAGAUAUAAGCUAUUUUAGCUGUAGUUAAAACAAUAGUACUUUGUUUUAGAAAUGGAAAACAGAAAACUUUGAGGAGCAUUUAAUCAAUUUCCUUACUGAUUUGCAGACUAACAGAUGAUUAAGAAUUCUGCAAGUAAUUCCAUCUGGGUGACUUAACAGUUGUUAGGUUUGACAGUCAAGAUCUACUGUGAAAGGAGCAACAUUUUGGGGUUUGGGGUGGAAGGAAUUUCUCAAAGAAAUACAAAGCAUACUUUGCCCUUGAUGUUGCAAAACCGUUGAAAUAGGUGCCUUAACCUCCUUAUUUCAAAAUUUACUUUUCAUUUAGUGUUACAGCUCAAGUGGAUUAAAAACCGACUAGUAUCCAUGAGGCUGCGGGCUGGAUCCCUGCCUUACUCAGUGGGUUAAGGAUCCGGUGUUGCCGUGAGCUGUGGUAUAGGUUGAAGACAGGGCUUGGAUCCGGCAUCACUGUGGCUGUGGUGUAGGCUGGCAGCUACAGCUCCAAAUUGACCCCUAGCCUGGGAACUUCCAUGUGCUGCAGGUGUGGCCAUGAAAAGAAAAAAAAAAAAAAAAAAAAGUAUUCAUUUUUCUUCUUUUUCAUAAGAAAGUAAUGCUAUGCUAUGCUCUUUUUGCUGUCAGCUUUAAUUAAUCAGUAAGCAAAUCUUUGUUAAGGGUAAUGAUGAAAUUUCUAGCCUACAUUUUAAAUUAAUUAGCUUCUCAAAUGCCAAACAAUCCAACAAAUGAAAUAACUUGAUAAGGUAUAUGAUAUUGACUCUGUGUUGGUUUUUAUUUUCUCUAACUUUGGCAUCUGCAUCUUAGUGCUUUUUGUUAGACUGGUAAGGUUUUACAACCUAGGGAGUAUGCAUUGUACUUCAAAACUAACUUAUUUCUUCAUUACUUUCUGUGUCUAUAGAUAGCAUGCUUUUUCAGGACAUUAACUCAGAUUGCUAAUAACCUCACUGUUGUACCCCCUUUCCAUACAGUCCAGAUUGAUUCAAGGAAAAGCAGAAAUGAAGUCAAAUUUUGGGCUGAAAAUUAUGCUUUAAAAAAUAGGUUAUUGGAGGAGUUCCCGUCGUGGCGCAGUGGUUAACGAAUCCGACUAGGAACCAUGAGGUUGCGGGUUCGAUCCUUGCCCUUGCUCAGUGGGUUAACAAUCUGGCGUUGCUGUGAGCUGUGGUGUGGGUUGCAGGCGCGGCUCGGAUCCCGCAUUGCUGUGGCUCUGGCGUAGGCCAGUGGCUACAGCUCCGAUUCGACCCCUAGCCUGGGAACCUGCAUAUGCCGCCGGAGCGGCCCAAGAAAUAGCAA
rnacentral:lncRNA from 1 species